GACGUAGGGUGCAAGCGUUGUCCGGAAUUAUUGGGCGUAAAGAGCUCGUAGGCGGUCUGUCACGUCGGAAGUGAAAACCCGGGGCUUAACCCCGGGCUUGCUUUCGAUACGGGCAGACUAGAGUGUGGUAGGGGAGACUGGAAUUCCUGGUGUAGCGGUGAAAUGCGCAGAUAUCAGGAGGAACACCGGUGGCGAAGGCGGGUCUCUGGGCCACUACUGACGCUGAGGAGCGAAAGCGUGGGGAGCGAACAGG
rnacentral:rRNA from 1 species